rnacentral:rRNA from 1 species
UGAGGAAUUUUCCGCAAUGGACGAAAGUCUGACGGAGCGACGCCGUGUGUGUGAUGAAGUUCUUCGGAAUGUAAAACACUGUCGAGGGGGACGAUAAUGACGGUACCCCUGGAGGAAGCCCCGGCUAACUACGUGCCAGCAGCCGCGGUAAUACGUAGGGGGCGAGCGUUGUCCGGAAUUAUUGGGCGUAAAGGGCGUGUAGGCGGUUCUGCAAGUUGGAUGUUAAAGGUAUGGGCUCAACUCAUACAUCGCGUUCAAUACUACAGUUCUGGAGAUUGGUAGAGGGAAACGGAACUUCCGGUGUAGCGGUGAAAUGCGUAGAUAUCGGAAGGAACACCAGUGGCGAAGGCGGUUUCCUGGGCCAAUUCUGACGCUGAGGCGCGAAAGCUAAGGGAGCAAACAGG